CGCUAGCGAUAGGCUUAACACAUGCAAGUCGAGGGGCAGCAUGAUCUUAGCUUGCUAAGGUUGAUGGCGACCGGCGCACGGGUGCGUAACGCGUAUGCAACUUGCCUUACAGAGGGGGAUAACCCGUUGAAAGACGGACUAAAACCGCAUACACUUGUAUUAUUGCAUGAUAUUACAAGGAAAUAUUUAUAGCUGUAAGAUAGGCAUGCGUCCCAUUAGCUGGUUGGUGAGGUAACGGCUCACCAAGGCGACGAUGGGUAGGGGAACUGAGAGGUUUAUCCCCCACACUGGUACUGAGACACGGACCAGACUCCUACGGGAGGCAGCAGUGAGGAAUAUUGGUCAAUGGGCGAUAGCCUGAACCAGCCAAGUCGCGUGAAGGAAGACAGUCCUAAGGAUUGUAAACUUCUUUUAUACGGGAAUAACGGGCGAUACGAGUAUUGCAUUGAAUGUACCGUAAGAAUAAGCAUCGGCUAACUCCGUGCCAGCAGCCGCGGUAAUACGGAGGAUGCGAGCGUUAUCCGGAUUUAUUGGGUUUAAAGGGUGCGUAGGUUGUUCGGUAAGUCAGCGGUGAAACCUGAGCGCUCAACGUUCAGCCUGCCGUUGAAACUGCCGGGCUUGAGUUCAGUGGCGGCAGGCGGAAUUCGUGGUGUAACGGUGAAAUGCAUAGAUAUCACGAGGAACUUCCGAUUGCGAAGGCAGCUUGCCAUACUGC
rnacentral:rRNA from 1 species